GUGAAAACUUUUGGCCCGUUUGGAAGCGGCAGCCAGGACAACCUGACUAUGUACAUGGAUUUAGUGGACGGCAUCUUUUUGAACCAAAUUAUGCUGCAAAUAGAUCCCAGGCCCACAAAUCAACGCAUCAAUAAGCACGUCAACAAUGAUGUGAACCUUCGCAUUCAGAAUUUGACCAUCUUGGUGAGAAACAUUAAGACCUACUACCAGGAAGUUCUCCAGCAGCUGAUUGUAAUGAAUUUGCCCAAUGUUUUGAUGAUUGGCAGAGACCCACUGUCUGGGAAGAGCAUGGAGGAAAUCAAGAAGGUGCUGCUGCUGGUGCUGGGCUGUGCCGUCCAGUGUGAGAGGAAAGAGGAGUUCAUUGAAAGAAUCAAACAGCUGGACAUUGAGACCCAGGCUGGCAUCGUGGCCCAUAUCCAGGAGGUGACUCACAACCAAGAGAACGUGUUUGACCUGCAGUGGCUGGAGCUGCCCGAAGUGGCUCCGGAGGAGCUGGAGGCCCUGUCGAGGAGCAUGGUGCUCCACCUGCGGAGGCUCAUCGACCAGCGGGACGAGUGCACCGAGCUGAUCGUGGACCUCACUCAGGAACGGGACUACCUGCAGGCACAGCAUCCACCCAGCCCCGUCAAGUCCUCCAGCGCCGACUCCACUCCCAGCCCCACCAGCAGCCUCUCUAGCGAAGACAAGCAGCACCUGGCCGUAGAGCUGGCCGACACCAAGGCCAGGCUGCGGCGCGUCAGGCAGGAGCUGUGAGUCCCCAGCUGCUUCUCCUACCUUUGUGUGUGUUGCAGACAUGUUUCUGGUGUGGUGUCGACUCACAUGUGUGGUGCUGCCAAUGGCACAGCUCUGACGUGUGCCCCGGAGUCAGCUGGGGUCUGCCCUGAGCUUACUCUUUGACCUCGGACUAGCUGCCUCCCCUUCUGAGGCCUGCACAGGGAUGGGGGCGGGGGUUCUUCCCGGUCUUCAGGGUUUCCUCCCGUCCAGACGGUGCAAGUUGUCCACAGAAGCAGCCUCCAGUCCACGCGCAGCUCCAGCUUGGGGCCGGGACGACCACACCUGAUGUGUUUUCUUGGCUGGAGGGAGGAGGUGCCCCUCCUUCCCUCCAAUCUGGUGAGCCUGUUCUCCCAGGUUUCCUGCAGCUGAUGGAUGUCACCUGUGGAGCCUG
rnacentral:sRNA from 1 species